AGUUUCUCAUUUUUUUUCAUAGAAAUUCGCCCACACGAAUUUCACAAAUUCUGGUAUUAUUCGGGUUACACAGCAGAAGACUGUGGAACUGAAGGAUAACGGUCUCGUGGAUGGUGUGUGUUUGUGGUUGAAGAUCCGACUCUUGAUCGCGGUCACGCUUCAAGAGAUAAGUAUCAAUUUUAUGUUUGAUUAAUAUCUUGAUUAUGUAUUGUCUAUAUUAUAUGCAAGUUCGAUCCUGGCUAUUUGCUUACGCUGCUUAUGCCUGUAUUCCAUCAAUUGGCAUCAAGAGCCUGCUUGCAUCUAAAUAGAUAACCUAAUGUAUAUAUCUGUAUAUAUGUUGUACGAUUAUGUGCAUGUACACGUUGUAUUUUUUGUGUCUGUUUUUCACGGAAAAGAAAAGGAGGGCGGCGUUGUUGUUUUCUGCUGCUAGUGCCUAUAAGAAGAAUCGAAGAUAACCAACUUUUGUAAAUCUUUUUGUGAUUGAGUUUAAUCUUUUUUUAAAAAAAAAUAAAAAAAUAUUGAAAGCUGAUGGUUGAUUGGGUUCUCGCGGCAGUGGACCGGUUUUCUUAGUACUUUGAUCAAAUGGAUACAACAUUGAGAUUACUGUGGCGGCUAGUUUUGUUGACAGAGGUGAAGUUUUCUUUUGCAAAGUAGAUUCCUUCUGGGUUAGUUGGUUUACUUUGUCAAUUUUUUUUAAAGGUUGUUCGAGACUUUGCUUCACGUGAUCAAAGGGGUAGCGGCACCCACUAUUCAAUCAGAAAAUUUUGAUUUUUUCUUCUUGUCUGAUAAAUAUGUGAGCAUAGUUUUUCUUCUUUUCUCUCACACGAAUAUAUGGACCUGUAUAUCUUAAGAAUUUUAUAAUUAAUAAACGGUUACCAUUUAAGUGGUUUGUUUAUUUGGAAUUAUUAGAAUUCUUUAUACUUUAUAUAUGUGAGAUUAUAAUACAUGAAUUGAGAGCUUAUAUCCAUGAACUGAUCUGCUGGUCUGUGUAUUCACGUAUGUAUGUGGUUUGAUAUUCUUGUCUUUUGCAAAUUACUUCAAGAAUGUAUGUUUGAUGCCCUUGUUUGGCUAGAGAAGUUUUGUCACUGAUUCCUGAUGAUUGUUGGUUCUAACUUUGAAAUAGAGCCUUAGAGAAAUUUAAAACUGAGGAAUAUUACUUUCAUUAGAAGUACUGUAAGACAUACCAUUCAUGGUUUUAGUCUUCUCUUCCAUGGACAUCAAGGAGGGUAAUGUUUUCUUGAAUUCAGUGAUUAUAUGAAUAUAUAUAAUUCAAUGAUAUUUAUUAUAUGAGCGUGUUUUUCUCUCACAUGAAUAUAAGAGUGUAUAAUAUUAGAAUUCGUGAUAAAUAAAUAAUUACUAUUAAAGUGGUGUAUUUAUUUGGAAUCACUUACCAUUCUUAAAACUUCUUAUAUGUGCGAUUACAUCAUAGAUUGAGAGUUAUGAUUAAUAAAUAGGAUUCACUAAUAUGGUCUAUUUAUUUGAGUUGUUAAAAUAUGCUCAAUGUACCACGUGUAAAUUGUCCUGGAUAAGUGUAUGCUAGUGGUGGGUUUUUAUCUACUGAAAGGAGAUUUACCUUUAGACACUAGUAACACUUAAAUAUUUCAUGAGAAGAGACAUCGAGAUUUUUUGCCCAAAAUGAGAAAACUAGCAUCUUGAAUUCUCAUAUGCAUUAAUCCAGAGAACAAUUUGUUGUGAGUAAGUGUUGUAUGUUACCUGAAGUUGUGCUCAAGGGAUGAUUGUAAAAAGAGAAAAGUAGAAUCAGUUUAUUUUAAUUCCUAAAGAUGCUUAAAAACUUAUUUUUUUGAAUUUGGUCAUAGAUUUAAAGAUUCGGAAUUUUACUAACUCUGGUUGAUUUGAAAUUCAGUAGGUUCAUCAAAAACGACCCAAUAAGAAAUACUCACUGCUAUGCAGUGAUUCAUGUCAUUUUUCGGCGAUUUGCGGUUGUUUAGAUGGUGUUUUGGGCAUUUUUUUUGUUUUCUGAAAAUGAUUUCUUUUAGAAAAAAUAACUUGGCUAUGAUCUAAUGGUGAUAGAGAUUCUUCCUUAUGGUUUUCAUGGCUAAAUACUAGUGAAAUAAUAAAUUUAUGUGUUGACUUUAUUAUUAUAGGUUGUCACUAGGUAUAAUCACUAGUUAUUGAUAACUUGUAUUAACUCUCCAUCUGAGUUACACAUUGGGUCAAUGGAACUAGAGAUAAUGAUAAUGAUGUUCACUUGGCUUAAAUUAGCAGCAUACUCUUCGUCCGAGUUAGCUCUUAUUUUAAAUUUAUAGAGUGAAUAUGUAGCAUCACAUAUAUAUGUUGCAUGAAUUGUUCUUUUAUAUUGAAAUUUGUUGUUCAAGAUGCAUGCAUGGAUAUCUAUGUGGUGUGUUUUGAAUUUUAUAUCCAAUGAUUACAUAAACAUGCUAAUUUCCAGAAAGUAACAGAGAUUAUGUAAACAUAUUUUAAAAUUUUGUUCGUUGUUCUUGAUUCAUGUAUAUUAGUACGCUAAUGAUGAUAUGUGAUAAGAACUACUGAAAAAAUGUAUAUGUUUUUUAAAAUCUAUUUUGGCUGGGAAUUUUUUUUUAUCUGAAUUGGUCAUGGUUUCGGAAUUCUGAUUUUUGACGAACUCCGAUUGGCUUGAAAUUUGGUAGGUUCAUCGAAAACGACCACUACUGGAAAUUAGGGCUAUGGCAAUGCCUUCCUCUGUAACAAUUAUACAACCGUUGCUGUAACCGAGGUACUGCAACGGUUAUACCCGUUGCACAAGGACAGAAUGCUAUAGUUACACUUUAGCGUCUAAACCGUUGCAAUUGUAUCUAAACCGUCACCAUACAUGUACCUAAUGGGACGGUUUUAUUUAACCGUUGCAAUAGUUUUAAUAUGGCAAUAGUUUUGUUUCUAUUGCAACAGUUUUAAAUUCCCUCCCAAAUUUUCCUUAUUUUCACUGUAGACCCGCCUAAAGCAGAGACCACAUUAUUUUUCCUUUUAGCCAAAAAUCGUAAAAUCUGUAUAAUCCAGGCUCCAAAAGAAAUAUAAUAAAACUAAAAAAUUCUAAAAAUUUACUACACUUCUCUGUUUUAUAGAAAACACUAGCACAUCUUCGCAUAUCUAAGCCCUAAUCUCCAUCUGUAACCCAGGUCAUCACAACUCUAAACCUAGGUAUGCUCGAGAUCUUUUGCCAUCUUCCUCACUAUUUUUGAUGCUUUCUCUUGGGGCAUGUACCUAGUAGGCGUAGGAAAUAAGCAGCAUAGGUAUGAUUUUUUUUUUUUUUGUGAAAAUAACAUUUGGGUAUGUUGAUUUUGUCUUUGAUUUGAUACGGGUAUUUCUUAAAUUUUGUUGUUGUGUAAAAGUUGGUUCUUACUCUUUUGAUGAUGUGUGUGAUAGCUGAUUGUGAUUAUUGGUAAACCCUAUAAAAGUUCUUAAAUUUGUUGUGCAUUGGUUGAUUUGAGCUGGUUAGGAUAUGGCUUCUCUUUCCUUUUCCUUCUUUUUUUAUGAUGAAAGUAGUUAAAUUUGACAAUUCAUCUGAAUUGUUAAGUGAAUAGAUUCAAUAAACAUGUGCUGGUGUUGUUGAAAUUAGUCAUUGGGGUUGCAAGGAGAUGCUGAUUGGGAGACAUCUCGCUGUAGGUGUGAUGGGGUUGAAAUAUAUUUGUGUAUGCUUCAUGGUGUUUUAAGGGUAUUUUGGAAUUAGAAUUGUUUAUUUCGGCUUUUCUCUUGGAUUAGAUUUUCUUUUAAAUGAAUUUGCUUUCUCAAUAUAUUUUUGAACGUAUGUGUUCGGUAUUCUCUCUUUUCCCAUUUUCCUGAAAACGAAAAAUAAUGUUGUCUUUUUCAGAAGCUAUUUCUCUUGUUUAUGCUCUUCUUUGCACAGUUCAUGUGUGAAUUUUUUUGCCAUAAUUGAUUGCUAUACUUGUCAGUACGAAAGCUAGCAAUUAGAUUCACGUGAUUUGGAACCCUCUCUAUCUCAUUUUCAUUGACGUUGUGAUAUCACUUUCAUUGUUUUACAGGAGUUUAGUUGCUUUGAUAUUUAGGUGUAUUGACUGUUUAUAUAAAGGAAUAUGUAUCCAGAAUCAGAAAAUUCAAUUGUGAAAGGUAUAUUACUUCAACUUUUAAGCUUUUCUGUUAAGGUCAUUCAGUAUCUUGUAUCUUUCCCUUUUCCUAAAAAGAGGAAUGUUGUCUUUCAAGAUUCACGUGAUUUGGAACCCUCUCUAUCUAAUUUUCAUUGACAUUGUGGUAUCACUUUCAUUAUUUUACCGGAGUUUAGUUGCUUUGCAAUUUAGGUGUAUUGACCAUUAAUAUAAAGGAAUAUGUAUCCAGAAUCAGAAAGUUCAAUUGUGAAUGGUAUAUUACUUCAACUUUUAAGCUUUUCUAUUAAGGUCAUUCAGUAUCUUGUAUCUUUCCCUUUUCCUAAAAAAGAGGAAUGUUGCCUUAAUCUGAAAGUUUUUAUGCAGAUGAUUGACAUUCUUGUUGGGACUAAAACAAUAGAAAAUAGAUUUAUGGGAUUUGGCAUCCUCCCAAUCGUGUUUUGCUUGCUUUGUUGGUGUCAUUUUCAUAGUUUUACUAACUAAAUUGAAACAUGAGACCUGUCAUAUACUCUAUUGUAAUUCAUUCCAAGAGACUGUCCGGAACUGAAAAUAGCAUAAAAUCACGGUAUGAUUGUCGAAUUGUGACUUCUAUGUUUGGUUGGGAGUGGAGUAAUGGCGAAAGACUUGAAAGGUGACACUUCUUCAAAAGCUGAAUCAUCAUCUCAGCAAUAUUUGUCUCGAGAGGAAAAUGAAUCUUUAAAGGAUUGCUUGUCGACUUUAGAAGACAAGAUGGAAUAAUUUAAGCAAUUCAAAGUAUUUGUAUUAGCUCAACACUCCGACGUCCAGCCUUCGACACCGCCUGAUUCAGAAAAUGACCAUUGACUUUAUAACCAUACCAAGUAAGUAACAAUUUAUCCGAAAAUUUAAUAUAUUUUGUUUAUUUGCAUAGAUGUGGUGCUGAAUUCUGUUAGUAUGCACUGGUGAUCUUUUCUUUCCAAGGAUUCCACAUAUGUGGCUAUUGGCUAUCCAAGAAUUUAGUAUGGCCUCUUUUCAUAAUGUCAGGUUAUCCAAACUUCAAUAACUUUUGGUUCAUUUUCUGCUGAAGCACAACACUACAAAAAUACUGAAACGCAAUUUAGAAAACAGUAAACUGCAUUUAAGAAAUACAGAAACGCAAUGCAGCAAAAAAUACAGUGCAGAAAUAUUAAAAUGCAGUGCAGAAAUACAGAAAAAGCAGUGCAGAAAUGCUGAAACGCAGUGAAGAAAUGCUGAAAAACUGUGCAGAAAUGCUGAAAAAGCUAUGCAGAAAUGCUGAAAAUGCAUUGCAGGUGUCGAAAAUGAAGAAAGGGAAGGAGACAGUGAAGACGUUGAUCUUACUUGAGAAGAUCUUUUAUGAAGCUUUCUACAUGUUCUAAGAAUCUUUUUGCUAUCGAACAUUUUGAAACUUAUCCUAAAUCUUGAAAUGUAAAACUUAAUUAUGCAUUUUGGGUUGAACAUUUUGGUUUUACGGGUAUAUAUGUUGGAUUAGGAAUGUUGGAUAUUUUGGAUUAUGAAAAAUUGUGUUUUCUGAUUUA